rnacentral:rRNA from 1 species
GAAUUGACGGGGGCCCGCACAAGCGGUGGAGCAUGUGGUUUAAUUCGAUGCAACGCGAAGAACCUUACCUGGUCUUGACAUCCACGGAAGUUUUCAGAGAUGAGAAUGUGCCUUCGGGAACCGUGAGACAGGUGCUGCAUGGCUGUCGUCAGCUCGUGUUGUGAAAUGUUGGGUUAAGUCCCGCAACGAGCGCAACCCUUAUCCUUUGUUGCCAGCGGUCCGGCCGGGAACUCAAAGGAGACUGCCAGUGAUAAACUGGAGGAAGGUGGGGAUGACGUCAAGUCAUCAUGGCCCUUACGACCAGGGCUACACACGUGCUACAAUGGCGCAUACAAAGAGAAGCGACCUCGCGAGAGCAAGCGGACCUCAUAAAGUGCGUCGUAGUCCGGAUUGGAGUCUGCAACUCGACUCCAUGAAGUCGGAAUCGCUAGUAAUCGUGGAUCAGAAUGCCACGGUGAAUACGUUCCCGGGCCUUGUACACACCGCCCGUCACACCAUGGGAGUGGGUUGCAAAAGAAGUAGGUAGCUUAACCUUCGGGAGGGCGCUUACCACUUUGUGAUUCAUGACUGGGGUGAAGUCGUAACAAGGUAACCGUAGGGGAACCUGCGG